AUGAACGCUGGCGGCGUGCCUAAUACAUGCAAGUCGAGCGAACGGACGAGAAGCUUGCUUCUCUGAUGUUAGCGGCGGACGGGUGAGUAACACGUGGAUAACCUACCUAUAAGACUGGGAUAACUUCGGGAAACCGGAGCUAAUACCGGAUAAUAUUUUGAACCGCAUGGUUCAAAAGUAAAAGACGGUCUUGCUGUCACUUAUAGAUGGAUCCGCGCUGCAUUAGCUAGUUGGUAAGGUAACGGCUUACCAAGGCAACGAUGCAUAGCCGGCCUGAGAGGGUGAUCGGCCACACUGGAACUGAGACACGGUCCAGACUCCUACGGGAGGCAGCAGUAGGGAAUCUUCCGCAAUGGGCGAAAGCCUGACGGAGCAACGCCGCGUGAGUGAUGAAGGUCUUCGGAUCGUAAAACUCUGUUAUUAGGGAAGAACAUAUGUGUAAGUAACUGUGCACAUCUUGACGGUACCUAAUCAGAAAGCCACGGCUAACUACGUG
rnacentral:rRNA from 1 species